rnacentral:rRNA from 1 species
UACGUAGGGGGCAAGCGUUGUCCGGAUUUAUUGGGCGUAAAGAGCGUGUAGGCGGUUAGGUAGGUCCGUUGUGAAAACUCGAGGCUCAACCUCGAGACGCCGAUGGAAACCAUCUGACUAGAGUCCGGAAGAGGAGAGUGGAAUUCCUGGUGUAGCGGUGAAAUGCGUAGAUAUCUGGAGGAACACCGGUGGCGAAGGCGACAUCCUGGACCGGUAUUGACGCUGAGGCGCGAAAGCCAGGGGAGCAAACGGG